CAGAGACCACGGAGAAAAAUUCGUUAUUGUUGCUGCAAAAAACUGUAGCAGCUCACGAGAGUUUUACUUUUAUUAUUCAUGUUGCUAUUAGGAGUUGCAUUAUUACUAGAUCCUAGCUGGCACAGAUGGCUGCUGUGCUUUGAGGUCUGCUUUAGUCAUGUUUUCAGCUGCUUUUUUUUGCAGAUUUUAUAGGGUUUGGGCUGAUUUUAGCUUCCUUCAUUUGCUUGAUAAUUGUUUUGUUUUUUGUUUUGGUUUUUACUUAAUUAGCAGGAAUAUGUUCGUGUUUAUAGUGUGCUUUAUUCACUCUUUCUGAACUUGUGGUAACCAGAAUCAGCGAUACCUUCUGUUGUUUGUGUGGGACCGGCACAGACCAGAUGCUUUGAUGAUGGCAGCAGCUUUCGUGGAAGCUUGUAUGUGUUGCCUCUUGUGCCACUGAGUGUGUCCAAGAAGAGUCUGGCUCCAUCCACUCUACACUGUCCCGCAUCCCUUAAGCAGCUCAAGACAGUGAAGAAAGAGUGUCCUACUAGCAAGAAGUAUUGUCUUCCUCCCAGUAAUAAAAGAAUCUUACACUGGAAAACUACAGGGACGCUGGCCAAAAAGCAAUAAGGAGAGACCAGGAGAACUUCUGAAACAUUAAUGAUGCCCUCCUGCCAAAGCCUGUAAAAAUGUGCUAAAACUCUGAGUAUUCAUGAAUAUGGCAGCUUGAGAUUUGACUCACCUCAUCAAAUCCCUAAGCUAAGUUUUCACUUACCCAAUAUUUAUCCCAGACAGGAUCUCAGUAGGUUUAUGAGAGGUAAGGGGGGGAACACAUACAACUUCCUUAGCCAAGAGAUAAUUAAACAGAGUCAUCAAGGCCAGACCUCUGACUGGGCUGUGAAAUCUACUGCCAGAUGUUCCAGAUACAUCUGUCUAACUACUAACAGGAUCCCUCUCAUUACAAUAUCCAAGCUUUUCACAAAUAUUAGUGGGUUUUCUCUCAGGAAAAGAAAUAUUUUUUCAUUCUAACAUAGUACCAAACAGAGCUGAACAAAUAAUAGUAAUAAAGUAGGUAUUUCUUGAGUUUAGGGGUUAUUUUCUAACUUUUCUGUCUGUGAUUUUUUUGUACAUAGGGAAAAAAAAAAAAAAACCUUAAACUCUCCAAAGCAUGAAAAUCUGUGGAGUCUAGUUGCUUCCACAUAAAGGACUCUUUCCUCCAUCGUUAUGCAGCUAUUGUUCUGCCGCCACACUUUGUUGAUGGUUCACAACAGCAUAUUUUUAGAUCUACAAGUCUUAGAUAGUGUAGUAGCAGUAAAUGUGACCUAAAGAUUCAAGAAUUGAAAGACAAAUAUAAGGAAUCCUGAAUACACAUAUUCAUAUGUAUACAGAUAUAAACAGAGAAUUAUUUCCAAAAAGUAAAUGUAGGUAUGUAUACAAAUAUGUUUUGGUUGAAUUUGAAAUCUGUGUGUAUGUAUUUAUAACCAAAUACAGAAGUCUAUUAUUUUUCAUCUAUUUCAUGAAGUUUGGGGUUGCCUUAUAUUUUUGGAACAAUUUGGACUGGCCAUCCUGAACUUCCUGUAUUACAGUUGCAUACUCUCUACAUGAACAUAAUGAAUGAGAGGUAGAAAAUUCUUCUUCUUCAAUUACUUCAUUU